rnacentral:lncRNA from 1 species
GCUUGCGCUAUUCUAACUUGAGAUUUCUAAACUUAGCCUAGGUUCCAAGAAUCUACUUGGUUUUGAUAGAAAUCCAUUUGGAGGAAACCGGGGACAAAAAAAGGGACAAAAAAAAAAAAAAAAAAACCGCUACCCUUUCCCCUCCUCCCUACGCACAACUCAUUUAAAGCGUUUCCCAAAUGUUUUCUUUCCUUACUGAAAAAAAGGACAAAAAAAAGAUCCUGAUUCCUAAGGCCUGUGAUAUUUCCCCAUUUUAAAUAAGCUUCGAGGAACCAUAGACAUAACAAGCACAUCCACAAUUUUUCUACCCCAAAAUGCAAACUAAUGCAAAUGUGAAAUGGAUCUAUGCAAGUCGCUACUAACAAAAUAGCCAAAUAUUUGUGUUUUUACCGGCCUUCAGCAUAUCCAAAAUGAAAAAACUUUAAAACACAUCAAGAAAAGCAUUUAAAAUAUCUAUUUCCUAAAUCAAAAGAAAGAACGCACUACAGAAACGAUCCGGAGCUGGUGAGCAAUGCAAUCUUAAUAAAUAGGAAAAGGAAUUUGAGAAGACAGCUCAGCAAAGGGGAAGAAUUUGCCAAGUGUCAUGUUUUGCUGUCAUUUUAUAUAUAACUACUAACCCCACAUAUGGUCUGGUUAGUCUUUUUUAAAAAGGAAGCGAAUCAAUUACUCACAAUUAAUUAGCAGUGCCAGUAGAUUCUUAGGCCAGCACUAAAAAACUAAAUUGGGUGAAUUUUUUUUCACUCAAGUCCACUGAUAUUGAUCACUUUUAGUAUUAGGAUUCCUUUUCUGACAAAGGAUGAAUACCUAUCUUUAAAAUAUAUUUUUUAAACUUAUUGUCACAUUCUAAAACACAGUCCAAAAACACUUCAUAAACAAGAAACUUCAUUUAACUUUAUGAAAACAAAUGACUAUGAGCCUUGCUACACAACAAAGAAACUAUGACCAAGUGGAACCAGGUUGAGCCUGAAGUGUAACCUCAUUCUACAUGUUAAUGGAUAACCUUUGAACUCCGAGACCUUGAAUGCUGUAAACACAAUAGCACUGAUAGUUAAAAAUUCUAGUGUCAAAAUCGAGCAAAAAGAAAAGUCCAAACUUUUCAGGGGGAAUAGGGAAACAAUCAAAUAUUUUGACAAAUAAUCGUUUCAGUAAGAACAAGGAGAUUCCUGGCUCUCAGACCUUGUUGCUACUGAAUUAUUUUCUGAGCAAAAACGGUUGUGCUUGUUUUCCCCCUGUGCCCUCCAAAGCUACCACUUUGUUCACAUUAUAGCAUCAUGAUUUGUUACUGUUUCGCCGCCUCUCUCAAAAAAAAAAAAGAGAGCGCCUUAUUAUGUUGUAGCUUUUAAAACUGAAAGAUGAUUAUAAUUCACUGAUCUGUCUGCUAAGAGUUUUAUUUAUAUGUGAUCCUCCUUAUGUUUGAGCAAAGAAUUACAAAGAACCUUGUCCUGGAGUCGUGCCAACGAAACUGGGAAAUCGUUGCAAAAUUCUGCCAGUGACUGACUGCUGGGUUGCAAAUACAUACUGUGUUUUCAGAAGGACAUAGAGGGAUCUGAAUUCGCCUGGGAGGGCUUUUCCCUAAGACACAUUCUUCCCUUAGAAUGUGAGACUCAUACUUCCCAUUUAUUUGGAAAGCAUGUAUAGUUCAAACAAUUAAAAUAUGGAAACUCCAAAAGUAACAGGAGAACACUGGAAGCAUUUGGUUUUGUAAUAAAAGCUAGGAACUCAUACUGCACAAAGUGAAAAUUGAAAAUCGAACGUUGGUCUUCCUAUGCUUAGCUCCACCCACAAGAAAUCCAGCUUCGCCAUCACUCCCUGCGUAGGCCAUCUCUAAAGGAGUCAGGUGCUACUAGAUGCCAGCAAAAAAACAAAGAAUGGAACCAAAAGAGAAGCUCUGCACAUGGUACUUGGAGAAGGGGCAGAAAAUCCCCACUUCACCUUCUUUCAAUGCAGCAAACAUCAGCUACACCUCAUUUUUCACAAUCAUCCAAACAGGCCCUCCUUAAGACAUAUUUCCUAGUAUGCGCUUAUAAAAUCACACCAUUAUCUCUAAUUUAAUCCUAGUGAUAUAAGGCCUCUUCGU